UACGAAGGGUGCAAACGUUGCUCGGAAUCAUUGGGCGUAAAGCGCACGUAGGCGGCCUCAAAAGUCGGAUGUGAAAUCCCGUGGCUCAACCAUGGACGUGCAUUCGAAACUGCGAGGCUUGAGUAUGGAAGAGGGUCGCGGAAUUCCCGGUGUAGAGGUGAAAUUCGUAGAUAUCGGGAGGAACACCGGUGGCGAAGGCGGCGACCUGGGCCAAUACUGACGCUGAGGUGCGAAAGCGUGGGGAGCAAACAGG
rnacentral:rRNA from 1 species